CACGUAAAAGCUCACCGUCUAAACUCAGCCAUCACAUCAACAUCAAUCAUCCAGAGGCAAUCAUACAAAGCAAACAAACCUAUAAUUAGAACAAUACACCAACAGUAGAAAAUAAAGAUGAAAAGUUUGUAAAACAAAACUACAUCGCACUACGAUCACACAGACGUAAAGUUCACAAUAAUCGGAGCUAUAACGAAGAAGUUAUGAUUUUCCUAAUAUUUCCUUUAAUAAAAUAAUUAAUUAAAUAGGAUCACGAAAAUAAAAAGUUGUAAACUUGUAAAACAGUGAGACUAAGACUAGAUCUUGUGAUUACGAAUCUAAUGCAAUUUGAAUUGAUCAAAUCGGAGUUAAAAUAAAGAUUUUAUGAGCUAAACAAAUCUUGCGGCAAUUUUAUAAUUACUGAAAACGUAUUUUGAUUUAGAAACCAAGGUAAACUAAUUGGAGCAGAGCACACGCCUGGCGGCCAGCCAUUGGCAGCAGCGAGCUCCUAGCCGGCAAGCAUGAAACUUAAGCCUACAGCCACGAUUUGAUGCUGGGAAAAUAAACUCACCAAUAGAGAUUUAAAUUGUUAAGAUCUCAUUUCUAGGUUAGGGUAAACUGUUAAGAUUUAAAUUUACUCAUUUUAUCUUUCACCAUGGGGCUUGCAACCGUCAAUUAUGUCUUGAGCAGUUAAAAGAUAGAACGGUCUAGUCAAGCACCAUGUCUCUGGUUCUUCGAUUAACUAUAACUCUGGAGGGUUUGCAGAUUUUCAAAUAAGACUUAGAGAUUCCUUGUAUGACUCUCUCUAGUCUCUUUUUUGUGGUAUUUCUGGAUCCUUACCAAGGCAGUAAUGGUGUAUGCCUUCUCUCAAAGUAUGUGGUAUUGUUGGUAUGAGGCAUAGUGACAUUGCCUUCUCUCUCACCCUACUCUAAUAAGGCUUUAAUAUCUGGAUCUCAUUAGGUGGGAGACAGCUAAUACAUACUUACAAGACAUUUAUUGCAUAGUCAAACCAUGGAUCCAAAAGAACAAGUUAAUAAGUCAAAUCAAGAUGUGCAUGUGUGGCGAAUGAAUGGUGUAUGGUGACGAUGGUGAUAACAAUGGUGAACGUCUAAUUCUACUUGUGCUCUUUUGAGGGGAUACAUACCUUUCUUACUGUUUUGAAACUUUUUGAGGAGAAUGAGAUGCUCUAUAUUUUCUUUUUUUUCUUUUCUCCCAGGUGGGUAUCUUGUACCCCUAAUUCUACUGUCGGACAUUUGUCCAUUUUUACAUCUCGUCUGACUUUUUCUUUUCUUUCGAGGUUUCAGAGAACUUGCCCCUUUUUAUUUCCUCGCAUUCUUUCUUUUUUUUUCUUUUUUUUAGAGCACUCAUCUCCUGAAAUAAUAUAGCAAGUGGUAGUAACCAAGAUAACUUGAGCAUUUUUUUUUCCAGGGAAAAACAGAAAUAGGAGAAUGCUUUUGGCUAUUUUCUCCCGGAUUAGGAGUAGAAUAUUUUUGGGUGGUUCUAGAGAUGGAAAUGGAUGGAUAUAUGUGGAUGGUACUUCUGGAGUAGAAGUAGCAUGUGUGAGUGAACGUGCAAGUGAAUCUUGAUUUAACCACAUGACAAGCUCCUAAGGGUCUACAUCGCUUGACCACACUCAAUGCUCAUAAGCAGUAAAAAGUAAAUGUGUGGCUCAAAGUCUAAUAAGCAUGUAUAUAUGGUUGUGGUAGGAUUUUCAACUCUCAUCAUACAGGAACUCAUCAUGCAACAUUUUAAAGAUUUUCAAAGAUAAAAUUCUCCAGAAUUCUCGCAUCUCUAGGAAUAGAUAAAUAGCAGCUCAACCUUCCCAUAUCAUAUCCAUUAACGACUUAGACUUUAGAUCAAGUACUCUUCCCACAGGUUCAGGUUUAGAGCAAAUCUUAAUUAAUACCAGUCAUGCCUAAACUUGAGAGAGAUUUCAAUUUUGAGAACUAGUCAUGGCAGAGCAACUAUUCAUCAUUUCCAUGUGAGAGCUUAUCAUGAGGAUUCAUAGCAAACUUUAUUUAUUUAUUUAUUUAGCAAACUAAGCAAAGAUAUAUAUAAGCAUAAAAUCUUUAUUUGGAUUUUUAUGAUUAUGCAUCUUUUUAUUAUUUGAGUAAAGUAUAAAUGUGAGUAAAACACUUAGCUGGAUAAAUGAGGGUGCUCUCCCCCAAGCUGGAUUUUGACGUAGUUUCUUCUAAUGUAGCUAGCAAGUGGUGGUGUAUUUGAAUGUCAGCAGCACCCUGACAGCGAUUAGGAUGUCCUCCAUCUGCUUGUCUUCUUUGAUCCUUGAAUUCUGUGGAGCUCAAAUAGACAACAAAGCUCUUGGCAAGGCGUACGGUGUUUUUAAGUCCUCCGAACGGGAGUCUCCAUUUUCUUAGUCGUCCUGGGAUUCGCUGGAUGGCGUAGUCGGUGGUUCCGGUGGAGCCUGCUCUUCAUGUAUAACUAUCUUUUUUUUCUCCACAACUGACUCGAUGCUACGGUCUCCUCAGGAUAGUUUUGUUCAAGUUAUAUGUCUUCAGACCUUACAACUUCUCCAUCAUAGUCUACCCAUCCGUCCUUGAUGAUUUUGCCUUCUCUGGUUGCGUUGCGCCAUCUCCUUCUUGUCCCGACCUGCUUAGAGUCUUCAACUAUAUAGUUAGGGUCAGUAAAAUAGUGGCGUACCUUCUCAGAGGUGAAGUGCAUGUGGACUUCUCGGGUUCCAAUGUAGAUGAUUGCUUUAACGGUGCUGAGGAACGGUCUCCUAAGGAUGAUGGAGGAUCAUACUUGUCUUCUCCCAUGUCAAUAACCUUAAAAUCAUCUGGAGCUGAAUGUAUGUUGGUUGUAGGGACAUGGUUCCAUGCAGGAGCUGAUAAGUGACUGCGGCCAUUAUGUUGACGUUAGAUCCGGUGUCGUAGAGUGUCUUCUCAAAAGAAUAUCCGUUGAUUGUGCACUCGAUGCUUGGAACACCAGGGUCGUCCUUCUUGAUCAAGAAAGGUGACUUGAGUUGACGAUCUUGACCUCCUUGAGCUGCAGUGACCAUCUUAGCAGACUCGGUACACAUUUGCUUGUUCUUGUUCCUCCUGUUGGUCCUCUUCCUUGGUUCAUGUCAGGAUUGCUCUGGGAUUUGUGUAGUCUUGUUUCUUGAAGGAAAACGUCUCCUUCUUCCCCUUGAUGUAGAAACUGAUCUUGGCAGCACUAGCGUAGAUGACAGUUCCCGAGGUGUUCAGGAAUGGCCUCCCCUAGGUAUAAUGUUGACGCUGGAGCCAAAGUCCCAGAGUGCUUCUAGGAAGUCCACCAUGCCGAUGGAGAUCGGGAUGACGGGGCGUCCUAGAUUGUCUUCCACAACAGGGUUACUCCAGUAGUUACAUCCUCAAGCAUCUCAGGGCAGUGUUUGCAUGAGUGUCCAGUAUCUCCAGUGUGUUUGUGCUCAUAUAUCUAGGUUCUUCACUUGGUGGAGUCUGGGAGUUCUAAAACUCCUUCAUAUUUUGCUCGAAGUGUACCUACUCAUAGAGACAAGGCAGAGAUCAAGUGCAAGGGCCUUGUUGGUGGAA
rnacentral:lncRNA from 1 species